UACGAAGGGGGCUAGCGUUGCUCGGAAUCACUGGGCGUAAAGGGUGCGUAGGCGGGUCUUAAGUCAGGGGUGAAAACUCGUGGAGCUCAACUCCAGAACUCUCCUUGAUACUGAAGAUCUUGAGUUCGGGAGAGGUGAGUGGAACUGCGAGUGUAGAGGUGAAAUUCGUAGAUAUUCGCAAGAACACCAGUGGCGAAGGCGGCUCACUGGCCCGAUACUGACGCUGAGGCACGAAAAGCGUGGGGAGCAAACAGGG
rnacentral:rRNA from 1 species